UCAAACUGAUCCUGCAAAGACCGUAUCUUUAACUCAUUGCUCUGCUUCAACUCCGCAAUAUCGUUUCUAUGACUCUGCCUUAUCUCCUCUAUCUAUGUCUUAUGGCUCUGCUUUAUGUGUGCUAUCUCUGUCUUCAGACUACAAAUCUCUGCAGCACUACUACCUUGUCUGGCUUACUGUAGACAACUGAGUGGGAGUAACUACAACGCCAUAACUCCUCACUCAACCAUAACGCUCUGGGCCCAUCAAUUCGGUAAAGAUCUGAGCUUCAAUGUGACUGGUCACGCCGGAUGAUGAUGACUCCCCGACGCGCUCUAAAAU
rnacentral:lncRNA from 1 species